CACACCAGGCUCCUACGUCCAUAGGUUUUCCCAGGCAAGAAUACUGGAGUGGGUUGCCAUUUCCUUUUUGAGGGGAUCUUCUUGACCCAGGGAUAGAACCUGCAUCUCCUGCAUUGGUAGGUAGAUUCUUCACUGCUGAGCCAUUCUGCAUUUACCAGGUACAAAAAUAUUCUUUCUGAUGUGUGCAUGUGUAUUAUCUUACAUUUCCAUAAAACUUUUCUUUUUAAAGCUUAGGCUUGCAUUAGUUCAUUUAAUUCUGAUAGUAACCCUAUAGGGAGGCUGCUCAUGUACUGUCUCUGUCUUAUCACUUCAUAGACAAGAAAACUGUGAUGCACACAGCUUUCAUCACUGGAAAAAUGUCUCGUGAUUCACCUAAACAGUAUCCAUCCACAUCUGUUGUCUAUCCAGAGGGAAGAAUGAUGUGCAAGAAACCACAUUUUUAAUGAAAUUUCAAUAUCUGACAUAUAUUUCCUAUAAGAAAUGUAAAUAAGGUUCAGUUUUUAUUGGAAGUAUGUUUUCUGAAAUGGUCAUUUUUAUUUUUUUUUGAAAUGGUCAUUUUUAAAAAGUGAAUGUGAUGUAAUUGCAGCUAAAUUCAGCUGCACUGAUUUAAUCAUCAGCAAUGGUGAACGGACAGGUGUUUGAGAAAUUACAAAACUGUAUGGGACUUGACUAAACAAAAUUUUAAAUUUUACAAUCUCGAUUCAUUUCUUUCUUUAUAUAAUCUUGAUUCUCUCUUCUCUUUAGUGGAAAGAGAACAGUAAUCAUAGUGGAAAAUAUUAAUGGGUUAAACGCUUACCCUACCUUCUUCAGUAUGAGAACCUGUCACCUUCUGCUAAUACUUUUUAUCUUAAAAAAAGACAGAUCGGGCUGUAAUUGCACACUUAACUUACUGAUUCUCCAGCAGUGGGUCAUAGCUCCCCAGCUGUGAUGUCAGAAGAUUGCCUAGGGGAUUGCAACGACUGUAACCUCUGUUUCUUGCCCCUUUACCCUCCCUCAUCUAUAAUAAACUGUCUUAUAAAUUUUGCUAUAUACAUUUAGAACCACAUCAGAUUUUUAUAGUGUUUGCUUCCACCAUCAAACAUAAUAUAAAACUCUUGAAGAGAAGGAAAAUCUUUUGUAUUCAUCUGUAUUCUUCUUACCAUGUAUUUUCUUCCUUCCUAGGGUUCCAAGUUUCCGUCCUUUGAUGUUUUCUGUUUAGCCAUUGUUUUAGGAUAGGUCUGUGGGUGUCCAAUUCUCUAACCAUCUGAGAUUGUUUUUAUUUCCCCUUUAUACUUGAAGGUUGGUUUUUUUUUUUUUUUUCCCUGAGUAUGAGAUUCUGCAUUGACAGUUUCUUAUUUUUAGUACUUUAAAAAUAGUGUGCCACAUCCUUCUGACCAGCAUAGUCUCUGCUGGUAAAUUCAGUCAUUCUGAUUGUUUCCCUAUUACAGGGACGCUGUCUUCUUCUUCUUCUUCUUUUUUUUUUUUGUGGCUUUCAAGAUUUGUUCUGUCUUUAGUUUUCCAAAGUUUAAUUAUGAUGUGUCUUGGUAUAGAUUUCUUUGGGUUUAUCCUAUAAGGAAUCUGAUUCUGUGACUCUAUGCCUUUUGCCAAGUUUGAGGAGUUUUCAGUUAGUAUUUUUUUUUUUUUUAUAAUACUGUUAGAUCUUAUUAGUUUCACUGAGCCAUUUUUAAUUACUAUUCUAUUUUCUCUCUCUUGAUCAGAUUGAAUAAUUUCUAUUGUGCUAUCUUGAGUUUACUGAUUCUUUUCUUUGCCACUCCCAUUCUACUGUUGAGCUUAUCCACCAAGCUUUUUAUUCAGUUCUAAAAUUUCCGUUUGGUUCUCCUCAAUCUCUUCGUUUUCUUUGCUGAGUUUGUUUCUCUGCUGAAGCUUUCUAAUUUUUUCAUUAAUUUCAAGCACGUUUGUAAUUAUGUGGAAACAUUUUUAUCAUGGCUGCUGUAGAAUCCUUUUCAGAGAAUCCUAACAUCUCUGUGAUCUGUGUCAGCAUCUCUUGUCUUUUUUCAUUCAAGUUGAGGUUUUUCUGGUUCCUGUUUCGACAAGUGAUUUUCUUUUGAAACACGGACAUUUUUUAUUAUGUUGUGAGACUCUGGAUCUUAUUCAGACUUUCUGUUUUAACUGACGCUACUCUGGUUGAGAAGCAGCAGCACCAUCUUGUUAUACUGCUGGGGGAGGUGUACGUAUAGCCUCCCCACCUGGUCCCCACUGACACCCCAAGGAAGGAGGACUGUUUAUUACACGUGGGUAGGGGUUGGAGUUCUUGCUCACUACAGGUCUUCAUUGUCACCGUGGUGGGGUGGCUUCGUUGCUGCUCGGCCAUGGGAGGAAGCACCUCCUCUGACCCCAUCCCAGCAGGGAGGGAGCGCAUGUGCAGGCACCGCCGGCGAAGAGUCAGGGUUGGCUGUUGGGGGUGAAAGUCCUGCUCGCCGCUGGGCCUUCUGUGACAUCGCCCAGAUCAGGGUGUCCAGGUGCCUGAUUCUAGCCUCAUGAGGGUGUGCAUCUAGGUCCUCACUCAGCCUUUGCUGUUGUCAGCAGGUGUGAGGGCACCAUUCUUUUCUGUAGUGUUCGGUUGUAGAACAGCAGUUAUUGUCUAAAGGAUCAGAUCUGUAAGGUAUUGCUUUUUGAGAUCAUCAAAAUACUAAUGAGUUUUAAUUCAAAAUCAGAGAAUUCUAAAUGAGUCCUAUAUAGGAUGGGCAUGUUAAAAUCAUUAGUUUGUAGAUUUGGUGCUUUUGCGUUUGCACAAAAACAAAGCAACCCAUUAGACUACUUCAGGGGAUUUAGCUGUCGAUAAAAUGAAUAACUUCAUUCAUGUAAUUCUUUGCUUCAGCAAAUGAAUUGUAAUGGUGGCAUUAUCUAACCAUUUGGGAAACGUUUACUGAACAAUCACAAUUUAGGAUGCUGUGGAGACACACAAAUAAAAGGCAAGGCUACUGUAACUGAAUGAAAAAAAAAUGGAAAACAGAACUGGGGAAUCAGCUAUGAAUAGUGGAAAUACACAGUGACACAGAGAUACAGCAUUAUAGGUGGCAAGAAAGAUGUUAUCAUUCAGACGUAAUCUUGAGUCAAAUAAACUCCAUGUAUACAUACACAUUCUGUAAGAACAGGUCAGAAGGUUGAACAUAAAUCAUAAUGAUGUCUGAUUAUAAUCAGACUGUGCCUUCAGUUUUAAUCACACCCAUGUAUGUUUCCUAUUUUUUUAUUUUAGUAGAAGCAGGACACUGGCUACUUGUGUGAUCAUGGGCCAAUCACUGGUCUAAGCCUGUUUCAUCUCUGAAAGUUAUCAUACCUUCAGAAACUGCAGUAGCAUGGUCAUGAAAGAGCGUAGGCCCCGGAUGCGGGCUUUGCGGGCUGGAAUCAUGGCGCCUCCAUCUCCUAGCCACGUGAGCUGGGCAGGUGACUGCUUGUGCCUCGGUUUCGUCUCCUGUUGUAAAAGUCAGCUUCCCAGAGAGUCCAUGCUGGGCGCAGAGCAACACGGACACAGGGAUGGAGCCGAUCACAAGGGGUCUGAGCAUCCUCUCACCUGCUCCCCUUCCCCGGCGGUCUGUGCUGCUACCGUGGAGAUGAGUCAAACCGCGGUAAACUCAGUGUGACUCAGCAAGGCUCCCAGACGUGAGCAUAGUCUGUAUGGUUUCUAGACUGGUUCUUAAGCUUUUUCUGUCCCUAAACAGCUCAGGUUGCUUAAUACCACACUGACUUUUCAAGAGGAGGCCAUGCUCACCUGGAGGAGAAGUAACUGAAAGUCUCCAGUAAUGCUCCUCCCACACAGUGAAUUAAUUUGCGAUCAUUCUAAGCUAAGCGAAGGAGAACACUAGAAUAUAUUUUGAAUUCUCAACAGUGAGAGCUGUUUAAGCACUUCUGAAUAGAAAUCAGGAAUUAUGAUAGAUUUCACAUUAUUAUAAACCUUAGAGAUCUUUACAUUUUUGGAUGUAUGUACAGACACUAGCUGAAAACCAGCUGUGAAUGAUUGUGGAUAUUUGGAGUAAAAGCAGCUAUAAUUCUUCAUUUAGCUUUCUUUGCAAAGUGGUUUGUAGGUAUUCUAAACUCACUGAGCAAUGACAUAAUACAAUACUAAAAAAAAAGGUAUUAUAAAAAGUAAAGUUUACUCCACGACUAUCCACCUUGCUUGUAGCCCAAAGUCAUCACGAUUCUGUCUACUGUACAAGUUUUCACUGAAUUUCUUAGGCAAGCCAGUAGGCCUAAUGAAGACCCUAAGAAGAGACUAAAAAAAUCCAGAAGGCAGUAAGCCAGCUGGAGGCAGGUAUCGGGGAUCAGUAGGCAAUCCUGUCUAUGAAACUGCCUCUCUGAGUCAGGAGACCUGAGUGGGCCCUAAAGCAGGGCGAGGGGUGACAGGAAAGCCAGCUGACGUCACUGGCAACUUACUGUAUGGUCUGAGGUCUUCCCCCUACUUAAGAUCAGCUGUAACAUAAACAAUA